GUGGCUGUCGCUCAGUGUUAGAGUGCUUGUCUGGCAUGCAUGAGGCACUGGGUUCGAUCCUCAGCACUACA
rnacentral:tRNA from 2 species